AGUGGACGCUGGCGGUAGGCCUAACACAUGCAAGUCGAACGGCAGCACAGUAAGAGCUUGCUCUUACGGGUGGCGAGUGGCGGACGGGUGAGGAAUACAUCGGAAUCUACCUUUUCGUGGGGGAUAACGUAGGGAAACUUACGCUAAUACCGCAUACGGCCUACGGGUGAAAGCAGGGGAUCUUCGGACCUUGCGCGAUUGAAUGAGCCGAUGUCGGAUUAGCUAGUUGGCGGGGUAAAGGCCCACCAAGGCGACGAUCCGUAGCUGGUCUGAGAGGAUGAUCAGCCACACUGGAACUGAGACACGGUCCAGACUCCUACGGGAGGCAGCAGUGGGGAAUAUUGGACAAUGGGCGCAAGCCUGAUCCAGCCAUACCGCGUGGGUGAAGAAGGCCUUCGGGUUGUAAAGCCCUUUUGUUGGGAAAGAAAAGCAGCAGGUUAAUACCCCGCUGUUCUGACGGUACCCAAAGAAUAAGCACCGGCUAACUUCGUG
rnacentral:rRNA from 1 species